CAAACUGAAGAUGGCGACCGGCGCACGGGUGAGUAACACGUAUCCAACCUGCCGAUAACUCCGGAAUAGCCUUUCGAAAGAAAGAUUAAUACCGGAUAGUAUACGAAUAUCGCAUGAUAUUUUUAUUAAAGAAUUUCGGUUAUCGAUGGGGAUGCGUUCCAUUAGUUUGUUGGCGGGGUAACGGCCCCCAAGACUACGAUGGAUAGGGGUUCUGAGAGGAAGGUCCCCCACAUUGGAACUGAGACACGGUCCAA
rnacentral:rRNA from 1 species